UACGGAGGGUGCAAGCGUUAUCCGGAUUCACUGGGUUUAAAGGGUGCGUAGGCGGACAGGUAAGUCAGUGGUGGAAUCUCUGGGCUUAACCCAGAAACUGCCGUUGAUACUAUUUGUCUUGAAUAUCCUGGAGGUAGGCGGAAUAUGUCAUGUAGCGGUGAAAUGCUUAGAUAUGACAUAGAACACCGAUAGCGAAGGCAGCUUACUACAGGAUGAUUGACGCUGAGGCACGAAAGCGUGGGGAGCAAACAGG
rnacentral:rRNA from 1 species